rnacentral:rRNA from 1 species
UACGGGGGGGGCAAGCGUUGUUCGGAAUUACUGGGCGUAAAGGGCUCGUAGGCGGCCAACUAAGUCAGACGUGAAAUCCCCAGGCUUAACCUGGGAACUGCGUCUGAUACUGGAUGGCUUGAAUUCGGGAGAGGGAUGCAGAAUUCCAGGUGUAGCGGUGAAAUGCGUAGAGAUCGGGAGGAACACCAGUGGCGAAGGCGGCUUGCUGGGCCGGACCUGACGCUGAGACGCGCA